rnacentral:rRNA from 1 species
UACGUAGGGUGCAAGCGUUGUUCGGAAUCAUUGGGCGUAAAGCGCGUGUAGGCUGUUAAUUAAGUCAGAUGUGAAAUCCCUGGGCUCAACCGAGGAAGUGCAUCUGAAACUAUUUAGCUAGAGUACUGCAGGGGAGACUGGAAUUCCUGGUGUAGCGGUGGAAUGCGCAGAUAUCAGGAGGAACACCGGUGGCGAAGGCGGGUCUCUGGGCAGUAACUGACGCUGAGGAGCGAAAGCGUGGGGAGCGAACAGG